GACAGAGGGCGCGAGCGUUGUUCGGAAUUACUGGGCGUAAAGCGCGCGUAGGCGGAUCUGUAUGUCCGUAAAGUGAAAUCCCGCCGCUCAACGGCGGGCUGCUUGGGAAACGGCAGGUCUGGGACCGGUAGAGGUCGGUAGAAUUCCCGGUGUAGCGGUGGAAUGCGUAGAGAUCGGGAAGAAUACCCGUGGCGAAGGCGGCCGACUGGCCGGA
rnacentral:rRNA from 1 species